AUGAAAAUAUAGUGUGCCGUUGACUUUAGUAUACGUAUAUGUGUAACAAAUAAAAUAAAGAUAGAAUGACGCUUCUAGUAUAAGAGUGAGCCGGACAAACGCAUCUAUCGACGAACUACUGUCACGCUAUUGUUUUUAAGAUUUAUAGAUUAUACAGAGAUAACAGAUUGUCAAAUCACGUUUUUUUGCGUUCACGUGUCAUCAAAGUGUCAUAAAUAAAUAAGUGAAGAAUUUCAUAGUGAGAAUAAACAUCGAAUCUUGUUGACAAUAUAAAUUAACUCCAUUAUACACAAUUAUAUAUUUGUGAUGAAUACAUUGCGAUAAAAUAUGAAUAUUCAUAUGUUUAUGAAUAUGUUUAUGUCUAUUACUGCAUAUGUGCUCUAUAUUGUAUUGUUAACAAUAUUAGGGUAUACAUGAUAUUGGGAAAAUCAAUUUUCACAUGCUGGGCUCUAAUACUGUGUGCACGUUAUAACACUACAAUAUAUUAUAACAAGAAACUGGACAUUAUUUAUUAUAUAUGCAAGCCAUUGCACAGUAAUGAAUGUGAUUGCAGAUUUUAACAGGUGGAGAAGCAGAGAUAUCAUAUAUUUUGUGAAGAAUAUAGCAGGUUAAUGAGUAACAAUUUAAACAAUGGAUUAUGAUUAUACACCUUUCCACAGAGAGACAGAUAUUCAUAAUAGAUGUUGUGGUGGAAAAUUGUGGUGUAUCAAAGAUAUAUGUGGAAUUAUAUGUGCGGUAUUAACAUGGUUGCUAAUCAUCUAUGCAGAGUUUGUAGUAAUGGCAGUUAUUCUUAUCCCUACAAUAAACACAAUAUAUUCUAGCUUAAAUAUGGCUAUCUUCCAGUCUCUAGCAUUCCUAGCCUUUGCAUCACACCUAAGAACCAUGUUUACAGAUCCGGGUGCAGUACCAAAGGGUAAUGCAACAAAAGAGAUGAUACAACAAAUGGGGUUUAGAGAAGGGCAAGUUAUUUUUAAGUGUCCCAAAUGUUGUUCUAUUAAGCCUGACAGGGCACACCAUUGCUCUGUUUGCCAAAGAUGCAUCAGAAAAAUGGACCAUCAUUGCCCAUGGGUUAACAAUUGUGUGGGUGAAAAUAAUCAAAAAUACUUUGUACUUUUUACUUUUUAUAUAGCAGGGAUAUCGCUACAGUCUCUAUUUCUCUGUAUACAACAAUUUACCACAUGUGUUAGACAAGAAUGGAGAGAGUGUUCCACAUUCAAUCCGCCAGCCACGGUGGUGCUGUUGUUGUUCUUGUCAUUUGAGGCACUUUUGUUUGCCAUUUUUACUGCUGUGAUGUUAGGCACACAACUGCAAGCUAUUUGGAAUGAUGAAACUGGUAUAGAGCAACUUAAGAAAGAGGAGGCCAGAUGGGUUCGUAAUAGCAGAUGGAAAUCGAUUCAAGCAGUUUUCGGAAGAUUUUCGAUAGCUUGGUUCUCGCCUUUUACCUCACCUCCUAACGCAAAAACGAAACAAGAAUCUUAUCUAUAUUCUGUCUAAAUUACAUUUUGAUACGCAACCAUGACUCAGUGAUAAUUAAUCUAUGUAAAUAUGCUAAUUCAUUGUGAUGUGUUAUGUGCAUAUAUGAUGGAAGUAAUUAAUUUUAUGAUUCUAUGAAGUUUUUCUGACGAUUGUACAACGUGAUUCUUAAUUGCACGUCUAUACUUUAAGAAGAAAAUGCAUAAUGGAUUCGAAAUCGGGAGAUACUGAUUAUUUGGCGAAUGCAUAAAUUGAUAUUAAGAAUUUUAACUAUUAAUUUAAUAUCCGUAUAAUAGUCGUUAUUUGAGAGAAAAAUUUGUCCCACGUAAGAUAUUCAGAUUUGAAUUUAGAGUUAGAUUGGAGAUUUUCUUAAAUCAUAUAGGUUGCGUUCCGUAAUACGCAUAUGCGCGCAUUUAUCUAUCUUGAUGUCACAUAUAUUGUAAAAAUGCGCGCAUAUGCGUAUUACGGAAUCCAACAUAGUAUAUGCGACACAUUACAUUCGUAAUCGCGAUUCAACUGAAAAACUCAAUGUAAGGCAAAUCUCAAAUAAUACUAAUAAUACGGGUUUAAUAUCUGUUUUUACUAAUGUCAAUUAAACUUUAACUUGAAUUUAAGUCCUCUUCAGACAAAAACUUAGACUCAAAUUAAAUCUAAUUGACGUUGGUAUACAAAAUGAGCACAAUACAUGCUGUGGCAUGCAUUGCAAAAGAAGAGCACUUUCUGUUAUGACUCGAAAAGUAAGCUUUUACAUAAUUUAUUAUAUGUUAUAUUUAUAUCAUUUUGCUUUUGAUUUUAUGUUCAAUUCCUUAAAGUACAUUUCCGAGAUGAUAUAUAUUUAAGGGUUAUUUUGUACGAGAUUACAGGCCAUAUUGAUGAAUAUAAGAAGUUCAAACGUU